rnacentral:rRNA from 1 species
AUGAAUAUUGCCGUUCUCUCCCGUUGGCUCUGGCGCAUCGCCCAGGGUCAAGGUGGCCUCUGGCUCGACAUUAUCCGGAAUAAAUACCUGCGGGGUCAGCCCCUAGCCUUCUGCCAGAAAUCGGGCGGCUCUCAGUUCUGGGAGUCUAUUGUCUAGCUUCUCCCGGUGCUCCGCAUUGGGACCUCCAUCUCGGAGGGAUCCAGCCUCUCGACGCUUUUCUGGUUUGAUCAUUGGGCCGGAGACUCUCCCUUUGCGGCCCGCUUCCCCGCCCUCUUCUCUAUCUCCGUCGACCCCACGAUUUCGGUCAAUAGGGCCCUUCUUGACUUAGGGCGCCUUGCUUUCCGUCGGCCUUUUGGGCCGGCGGAAUCCGCCGCCUGGCGUGAGUUGCUUGAUUGCGUUGUGUUGCAUGAGCCAUUGGUGGAUGGCAGACCGGACCUUGUGCGGUGGCGUCUGGAUCCGUCGGGCUUGUUCUCCACCAAGUCGCUAUACCCGGCCAUUGCCCCAUCCUCCGUUCCCCUCCCCCUAUCGAUGGUGUGGUCCGUCCGCGUUCCCCUGAAGAUCCGCAUAUUCAUGUGGCAGUGGAUUCGCGGCCGGGUCCCGUCUGGAGUGGAGGUCUGCAAGCGCAAUGGCCCGGGCACCGGUAUCUGCCCGCUCUGUGGAGUCCCUGAAGACUCGAACCAUAUCUUCUUCUCCCGCGUCUCCGCCCAGUUCCUCUGGAGCUGCUUUCGCGAGGUGGUCAGUGGUAGUUGGUGCCACACCAAUUUCCCGGACCUUUUUGCUGAACUCCAGUUGUCCCACGCGUCCUCUCGCCACAUUAGGUGGCUUGAGGUUGGCGUUCUCGCCUGGACUCUUUGGACCGUUCGCAAUAAGCUUGUGAUUCAGCACGCUCCCCUUCGUCGCGCUACUGACGCUCUCUACAAAUUCUCGGGUUUCUUGCAGCUUUGGCGGCCGCUUAGCCGCCCCCCGGACCGUGACGCCAUCUCCGCCUUCAUCGCCGACAUCCGUUCGAUGGCCGUCCGCCUGUCGCCGCCGCCCCCGCCGCCUCCGCCGGAUCCUGACUAG